rnacentral:rRNA from 1 species
UCAGGAUGAACGCUAGCGGCAGGCUUAACACAUGCAAGUCGAGGGGCAUCGGGAGUAGCAAUACUGCCGGCGACCGGCGCAAGGGUGCGUAACGCGUGAGCAACAUGCCCGUAUCAGGGGGAUAAUCCAUGGAAACGUGGUCUAAUACCCCAUAGUAAUUAUGUAAGGCAUCUUAUAUAAUUUAAAGCUUUGGUGGAUACGGAUUGGCUCGCGUGACAUUAGCUGGAUGGUAAGGUAACGGCUUACCAUGGCUACGAUGUCUAGGGGUUCUGAGAGGAAGGUCCCCCCACACUGGAACUGAGACACGGUCCAGACUCCUACGGGAGGCAGCAGUGAGGAAUAUUGGACAAUGGAUGGAAAUCUGAUCCAGCCAUGCCGCGUGCAGGAAAGACGGCCCUAUGGGUUGUAAACUGCUUUUGUAUGGGAGCAAUAAGGGCUACGUGUAGUCCGAUGAGAGUACCAUACGAAUAAGCACCGGCUAACUCCGUGCCAGCAGCUGC